rnacentral:rRNA from 1 species
UACGAAGGGUGCGAGCGUUAUUCGGAAUUAUUGGGCGUAAAGGGUGCGUAGGCGGCAUGUUAAGUCAACUGUUAAAGACCCCAGCCUAACUGGGGAUCGGCGGUAGAUACUGGCGUGCUAGAGGGUAGAAGAGAGAAGUGGAAUUCUUGGAGUAGCGGUAAAAUGCGUAGAUCUCAAGAGGAACACCGAUGGCGAAGGCAGCUUCUUGGUCUACAUCUGACGCUGAUGCACGAAAGCAUGGGGAGCAAACAGG